rnacentral:rRNA from 2 species
GAUUAUUGGGCGUAAGCGCGCGCAGGCGGUUCCUUAAGUCUGAUGUGAAAGCCCCCGGCUCAACCGGGGAGGGUCAUUGGAAACUGGGGAACUUGAGUGCAGAAGAGAAGAGUGGAAUUCCACGUGUAGCGGUGAAAUGCGUAGAGAUGUGGAGGAACACCAGUGGCGAAGGCGACUCUUUGGUCUGUAACUGACGCUGAGGCGCGAAAGCGUGGGGAGCAAACAGGAUUAUUAUACCCUGGUAGUCCACGCCGUAAACGAUGAUUGCUAAUUGUUAGAGGGUUUCCGCCCUCUAGUGCUGCAGCAAACGC